AACGCACAUUGCACCCCUUGGUAUUCCGGGGGGUACGCCUGUUCGAGCGCCAUCACACACCCCAAGCUCUGCUUGAUGUUGGACGAUGCCUUGGCCCUUCUGGGCUGGGGCACGUCUGGAACCCGUGGGCGCCCCCGCCGAACCACGAGCGUAGCAAGACGCAAGUCACUCGCUUCUGUCGGUCUCGGUGGAGGGUCUGCCUCAAUCCAUUUCUGAAGAUUGGCCUCGGAUCAGGUGGGGAUACCCGCUGAACUUAA
rnacentral:misc_RNA from 1 species